GCUGAGGUAGUGUAGUGGUUAGCACGUGGGAUUUUGACGAGAGACCUCUCAUAAAAAGUUCCUGAGUCCCCGGUUCGAACCCGGGCCACAGCU